CCGCUGAAAGCAUCUAAGUGGGAAGCCCACCUCAAGAUGAGUGUUCCCAUGGGGUAACCCAGUAAGGUCACGGGAAGAACACCCGUUGAUAGGCUCUACGUGGAAGUCCAGUAAUGGAUGCAGCGGAGGAGUACUAAUAGACCGAGGGCUUGACCAA
rnacentral:rRNA from 1 species